AUAAAUAAACAACAGAAAAACCGGAAGAGUCGAAUUUGAAACGCAAAUCAUCUAAAAUCACACAUUUCUUUGACUUUAGGCUAAAAAUGAAAGGACUGUUCUGUCGAGCGAGCGGACGUGAUGGAGAACUGCAGUUUGUGAUUCAAGAGACGAGUCUCCCGGAGCUCGUGAGUGGACAUCAGGUCCGUGUGGAAGUCCAGGCGUGUGGACUGAGCAGCAUCGACCUCCAGCUGUUGAGGGAGAUGAAGAUUGAGCGAGAGUUGAUGUCUGUUGGUCGAGACAUCGCUGGAGUCGUUAAACAAGUGGGGUCCAAAGUGUCUCUGUUCCAGCCGAACGAGGAGGUCGUAGGGAUUCUUCCUCUCGACUGUCCGUUCUCCGGGCUCUGUGGAGUCAUCGACGUUGAUGAACAUUAUUUAGUCCAUAAACCGGCGCAGUUGAGUCAUGUGACCGUGGCGGCGGCGUUGCGUGAUGCCGUGUCAGCGUACACCGCUCUGCACACUCUGGCUCACAUGACGGCGCGGCACAGCGUCCUGGUGGUGGAUGGAGCCAGUUCGUUCGGUCUCAUGUGCGUCCAGCUCGCCUGGUACCACGGCCUGAAGGUCCUGACCACGUCGCACUCUCCACAGGACCACACCUUCCUGGAGCAGCUCCGCCCGACUGUAGGCGUCCAGGAUCCUCUCGUAGCCAGAGUGAUUCCAGUCUUCAAAAGCCCGUCCAGCCUCGUGCCUCUGGUCCUGGAGGAGACUGGAGGUCUGGGCGUCGACAUCGUCAUCGACUCUGGAGUGCAUCUACACGAGGAGGAAGAAACUGAUUUCACGCCCCACAAACACGACCUCAUCGACGCGCUCGCUGUCGGGGGUCACUGGGUCACGUCUCACCCGCAGCUGCAAUUGGACCCUCCAGACUCCAGCUACCUCCACCUGAAGUCGGCCUCUGUGUCGUUUCUAAACCCCGAAGUCUGGACCACGUCGUCUGCGCAGCACGGAAGAUAUCUGCAUAUUCUCAAGGACAUUGUAGAUAAAAUGUCUACAGGAGUGUUGAGGCCGCGUCCAGAAGAAGCGUUACCGCUGUACGAAGCCACUGUCGCCAUGGAAACCAUCCAGCAUCAUCCAAAGAGGAAGGCGGUGGUGAAACUCUCAACCAUGGACUGAUUUUAUACUUUUAUGGUGGACAACGGGGGCGUCCCGAGCUCAAACGUGGCAUUAAAUGCCGCGUCCAGAAGAAGCGUUACCGCUGUACGAAGCCACUGUCGCCAUGGAAACCAUCCAGCAUCAUCCAAAGAGGAAGGCGGUGGUGAAACUCUCAACCAUGGACUGAUUUUAUACUUUUAUGGUGGACAACGGGGGCGUCCCGAGCUCAAACGUGGCAUUAAAUGCCGCGUCCAGAAGAAGCGUUACCGCUGUACGAAGCCACUGUCGCCAUGGAAACCAUCCAGCAUCAUCCAAAGAGGAAGGCGGUGGUGAAACUCUCAACCAUGGACUGAUUUUAUACUUUUAUGGUGGACAACGGGGGCGUCCCGAGCUCAAACGUGGCAUUAAAUGCCGCGUCCAGAAGAAGCGUUACCGCUGUACGAAGCCACUGUCGCCAUGGAAACCAUCCAGCAUCAUCCAAAGAGGAAGGCGGUGGUGAAACUCUCAACCAUGGACUGAUUUUAUACUUUUAUGGUGGACAACGGGGGCGUCCCGAGCUCAAACGUGGCAUUAAAUGUAAAUAAAAAGGUGCAAAUCUCCUGCUUCAGACCAGUCUGUGUGUCGACAAUCUGCCAUGUGCAUAAUUUAAAUAAAAACAUGAAUAUCUCAGUGUUGAUAUGAAAGAGCCAUGUUACACUGAUCUGUCCUAAUGUUGUUUCCUCAUCACAAACAGACCUGGAGUUGUGUUUUGUUUCAUUGUU